CAUUUAUUGAAAAUCAAGAUUAAAAUACACUCACAUAAAUGAAGUGCAGUAUAUCAGCAAUUAGAGUCUUGUGGGGUCAGCAAGAACGGGUUAUAGUUAAGCAGACUGUGGCAGAUCUUCACCGGCCAAUGAGAUGAUGCCGCCGUGCUGGGAGAGAUGGAGAACUCUUUGCGUGCGUUCCACUUUGUGCGCCCGAUCUGCAUUCCACCAAGGCUCGGUAGCUGUAACUGGAUCAAUAUACGGCUAGUAGCCGAAAAGCGUAACGCGUUUCGUGACAGUCCAACGUCACUUCUUCAGAGGCUGAUGAAUUGCUAGAGCUACC